rnacentral:rRNA from 1 species
GAUGAACGCUAGCGGCAGGCUUAAUACAUGCAAGUCGAGGGGUAGCUGGACUGUAACCAUCCCGUUGCAGGCGACGGGCAGACGGGUACGGCUCACGUACCCAACCUAUCCUGAAGUGGGGGACACCGCAAGGAGACUCGGAUCAAUAUCCCGUAAUAUAAUGGCGUGGUUACACUUUAUUAUUAAAGAUGCGGUGGAGCGGGAUCGGCGUGCGGCUGAUUUGGUAGUUGGUUGAGGUAACGGCUCACCAAGGCUGCGAUCAGUAACGGGUGUGAGAGCAAGAGCCCUCACACGGGCACUGAGACACGGGCCCGACUCCUACGGGAGGCAGCAGUAAGGAAUAUUGGACAAUGGAGGAAAGUCUGACCCAGCCAUGCCGCGUGGAGGAAGAAGGCCCUCUGGGUUGUAAACUUCUUUUGGAAGGGAGGAAUCAGGUGGAUUCGUACGUAGUUGACGGUACCUGAGGAAUAAGCACCGGCUAACUCCGUG